UACGAAGGGGGCUAGCGUUGUUCGGAAUUACUGGGCGUAAAGCGUGCGCAGGCAGCUUCUCAAGUCAGGGGUGAAAGCCCAGAGCUCAACUCUGGAAUUGCCUUUGAGACUGAGUGGCUUGAGUACGGGAGAGGUGAGUGGAAUUCCCAGUGUAGAGGUGAAAUUCGUAGAUAUUGGGAAGAACACCGGUGGCGAAGGCGGCUCACUGGCCCGUAACUGACGCUCAUGCACGACAGCGUGGGGAUCAAACAGG
rnacentral:rRNA from 1 species